rnacentral:rRNA from 1 species
AAGCAGCGGGUGCUUAACACAUGCAAGUCGAACGAUGAUGCCCAGCUUGCUGGGUGGAUUAGUGGCGAACGGGUGAGUAACACGUGAGUAACCUGCCCCUGACUCUGGGAUAAGCGUUGGAAACGACGUCUAAUACUGGAUAUGAUCACUGGCCGCAUGGUCUGGUGGUGGAAAGAUUUUUUGGUUGCGGUGGAUCCUCCUAUCAGCUUGUUGGUGAGGUAAUGGCUCACCAAGGCGACGACGGGUAGCCGGCCUGAGAGGGUGACCGGCCACACUGGGACUGAGACACGGCCCAGACUCCUACGGGAGGCAGCAGUGGGGAAUAUUGCACAAUGGGCGAAAGCCUGAUGCAGCAACGCCGCGUGAGGGAUGACGGCCUUCGGGUUGUAAACCUCUUUUAGUAGGGAAGAAGCGAAAGUGACGGUACCUGCAGAAAAAGCACCGGCUAACUACGUGCCAGCAGCCGCGGUAAUACGUAGGGUGCAAGCGUUGUCCGGAAUUAUUGGGCGUAAAGAGCUCGUAGGCGGUUUGUCGCGUCUGCUGUGAAAUCCCGAGGCUCAACCUCGGGCUUGCAGUGGGUACGGGCAGACUAGAGUGCGGUAGGGGAGAUUGGAAUUCCUGGUGUAGCGGUGGAAUGCGCAGAUAUCAGGAGGAACACCGAUGGCGAAGGCAGAUCUCUGGGCCGUAACUGACGCUGAGGAGCGAAAGCAUGGGGAGCGAACAGGAUUAGAUACCCUGGUAGUCCAUGCCGUAAACGUUGGGCGCUAGAUGUAGGGACCUUUCCACGGUUUCUGUGUCGUAGCUAACGCAUUAAGCGCCCCGCCUGGGGAGUACGGCCGCAAGGCUAAAACUCAAAGGAAUUGACGGGGGCCCGCACAAGCGGCGGAGCAUGCGGAUUAAUUCGAUGCAACGCGAAGAACCUUACCAAGGCUUGACAUACACCGGAAACGGCCAGAGAUGGUCGCCCCCUUGUGGUCGGUGUACAGGUGGUGCAUGGUUGUCGUCAGCUCGUGUCGUGAGAUGUUGGGUUAAGUCCCGCAACGAGCGCAACCCUCGUUCUAUGUUGCCAGCGGGUUAUGCCGGGGACUCAUAGGAGACUGCCGGGGUCAACUCGGAGGAAGGUGGGGAUGACGUCAAAUCAUCAUGCCCCUUAUGUCUUGGGCUUCACGCAUGCUACAAUGGCCGGUACAAAGGGCUGCGAUACCGUAAGGUGGAGCGAAUCCCAAAAAGCCGGUCUCAGUUCGGAUUGAG